AAGCAGGAGGGACCACCCUCCAAGGCUAAAUACUACCUAGUGACCGAUAGCGUAUAGUACCGUGAGGGAAAGGUGAAAAGAACCCCGGGAGGGGAGUGAAAUAGAACCUGAAACCCUGCACUUACAAUCUGUGGAAGCACAUUUCUUGUGUGACCGCGUACUUUUUGUAGAACGGGCCAACGAGUUACGUUAAGUAGCAAGGUUAAGCACUUAAGGUG
rnacentral:rRNA from 1 species